UAUAUAUAUAUCUGCCAGGAUUUCCACUAUGAAACUGAAACUAGGAAAAUUGUAGAUGUUGAAAAAAUAUAACUGAAAUCAAGAAAAGAUUUCUGCACCUUCAAAAUCUCACUUGAAUACCUUUUCUUUUUUUCUACAAGGUUCUUGUGAAUGAAUUAGAAAUCACUGAAAUGCUUUUGAAGCAAAGCCAUGCUCUGAAAUUUCACCGUAAUCAGAAUGUUCAGCUUCUUUGCCCAAGGUUUUGAUGGAAAGUCAUGAAAAAACUGAAGUAUUUUAAAAGCAAAACAGUCUGAGUUGGAACUUUCCCAGAACAUGUUCAGUUUGAUGCAAUACCUGUUCCUGACGUCCUGCAAUAUGGAGUCUGCACUUUGCUUGGAAUAAUCACAUCUGGUGAUGGAAAGUUUCUUAAAUGUGAGUGUAUUCAGGCUUUUAAUUCUGCUGCUUCUCAUAUAACCUCAUUUUUUUCAGAAGAUAAUGUGCCAGAACUGGUGAAAUGGCCUCAAGUGCCAUAGCUUAAAGCUGAAUUUUCUGAACGGUUUACUGCAUAGCAGAAUGCAAGACACUAUUUUCAAAUUCUGAAUUACACUUAUUUCAAAAAGAUUUUUAAACCAAAUAUACAUCACUGAAAUUUAAAUAGAUAUACAUUUGGUUAAACUGGGAAAAAUAUCCUGUUCAAAUGAUUUCAAGACUUGUGCAAUAGAUAUGUAGAAGAAAGUCAGUGAGACCAAUAGCUAUGAUAUAAUGGAUGCUUUAAUAUUAGAUACUUAUACCAUUCUUGUGUGCACUAAAAUGUCAACCUCUUUUUGUAUUUACAGCAGUAUGGUUUCCUCGCACCUUUCAAAAGCCCACAUCAUGACAGUUCAUGCAUGAACUCUUUCCCACUCUAUCAGUAUAGAUUACAUUCUUGAUAACUAACAUAUCAUAAAGAACUAUCUUCUAGUUACAGUUUGUUUCAAAACCAGGCUGACAUGGAACUGAGAUCAAACAAAAUCUGUAUACACGGACCUAGUUUGAAAAAGCUAAGGAUCAGUAGUGCGUUCUGAUGACAUACUCUGCAGAAACUUAAUUGGCACAUUGUUGCUGUCUAACUUAAAAUGCACUGCACAGCUACAGUACAGAAGAUUAUUAGAAAUAACUGAGUAAGCAGACUGUCAUCUCAGGAAAGAUGAGAAAAUGGAACGGACACAGAAUCACAAACAUAAAUUUUUUCAAGAGAAAGAAUCAGACAUAUAGAUGGCUAAGUUGCCAGAAUGUCACACCAAGGAUGGAGGUCUCCUUACCUCUAGUCUGUUCCAGAUGCCAUUAUAUGUCAAACUAAAAAAAAAAAUCAUUAAACAGAAACUCAUGUGAUAAAUAAAAAUGCCAUGUGAAAAACAAAAUAUGUAUUCAUUUUUUAUUAGACUCAUAUUUUCAAAACUGUUCCUUAACAUUGACAAAUAUCUCAGUGAUGUUAAAAUAUCUGUAUGAGCAACUUUUCCAGGGUAAGAUCUUAUUUCCCUUAUUUUCCUGCAUAUCCUGACUGACUUUGUGGACUUCUUUCCCUAGUGCUUGGGUCGGGUUUUUUUGCCAGUUUAAUUAGCAACUGCAAAUUAGCAAGCUUUUGGUUAUAAUCUGAACUCACAGUUAACUGUUAUGCAGGUGGUGUUUGGGAAUGUGUGUAGAACUAAAGAUUUGGAAGACUGGAUGUAAUUUUCAAAAUUGUCCUUUGUCUGGUGAUUUGGAUUGAUCUUUGAAGAUUGCUCUGUUUGUUUUCAUGACUGAAGGUGAAAAUUCAUAAACAGUUCACACUACUUCAAACAAAACAAAACAAAAUAGACUACUUUGCAGGGAAACAGUUUGAUAAAAUUAUGAAUAGGUUCACACUGCAAAAAUCAAACAUGACUUAAGUUUUGUGCAGGAACAGGGAUCUUACUGUAGAACUUAAGAGUAUUCGUGAUGUUAUUUUUGUUAAAAGUGCUUCUAUUUUUUACAAAUGAUAAAAUUAUUCCAGAAGGAGAAUCUGUACAUUUUAUAAGACAUUAGAGGAAAAGAAGAAAUGUACAGAUGUAUUACUUCUCAGGGUCUUCUGAAUCAUUCUUCCCAAUGGAGUACCAUAGUCUCCAGUGCAAAACAAGAAAUGCUGACAGGAUUUUGUCACAGUGAGCAAAUCAUCAGAGAAUUCAGUAUCCAGAUGUUACAUGGAUCAAUAUAUCAUUGAUCCACAACAAUUUAGAGCAAAAAGCUAAUAAAUUGAGGGGUUUUUAAUACUUUUUGCUUCUAUUAAGCUCUGACUUCAACAAAUUUUUCUAGUCUCCAUCC